UGAGUAGGAUUCACUUUAACCUCCACCUCUGUUGUCACACAGUAUUAUCUUCUUGCGGUAUUUCCCAUCUCAUUUUCUUCCCUUCUCUUCUUAUGAGGACAUCGAUCAUUGGGCUGAGGUCCCCAACAACCCCAGUUUAUAUUCACCUUCUUGUUCCAUAUGCAGAAACCCUAUUUCCCAAUAAGGGCACGUCCUGAGGUACAAGGGCUUAUGAAUUCCACAUAUCUUUUUAAGGGAAACAAUUCAACCCAUAACAACUUCAUUAGAGCUUAGUCACAUGUCCACAACAAUAUUUGAGUAUGAGGAUAAAUGUCAACACUGGCUAGAUUAUCACCAUCCCAAAUUAAACUGCUGCUGUUACCAAGAAAGAAGAGAAUAGAUAUUGUCUAUCUUAUCAAGUAGUAUAUCAUUGAGCACCUACACAGCAUCCAGAAUGUUGUGUGGCAUGUAGUAGACCCUCACUAAAUAUUUUUUUGAACAAACGAAUGAGUGAUCUAGAAUUAUACUUAUGAGAAGAAAGCACAUGGUAAUGGGACAUAUUUAUAAAGUACAAUAAACUGUAAAGUCUUACCUAAAACUGGAAACUAUAUCUUUAUCCAGAGAAGAUAAGCUUCAAAUUUUUGGAGGCUUUUAAUGAUCUGGAAUGAAGUGUCUAUCACAGAUUCUGGAUGCAUUUGCACAAAACUGGAAAUACUAUAAGCCCUGGGCAAGGAAAAACGGGGCUUUCUGACCACAUCCUAUCAGUAAGCCUGAAUUACUAGAAAUGGUUGGGCCUACCCAUCAGGGCACACAAGAACUAAAUGCAAAGAAGGCAGGCAGAAGGCCUGGGAAUCAGAACCAACUUACAGAAAUAUUUGGUGGGCAGCAGUGUUUUCAAAUUUUUAAUUUAUUGCCAUGUUUUAAACAUGAUUUCAGGUAGAAAUAUGCAUUUCCAACUGUUUUUUAAAACCCAAAGAUUUGAUAAUAUUGAGCCCAAAUAAAUACGUAGCAAUUAUUGGUUGAGCCUGAGUAUGAGCUGUCCAAUUCAGAUGGGGAAAGAAUUCCCUAUUCUUCCAGUUACCCUCUUCACAAAUUUAUGCUUCUUUCCUGAACUCUCAAUGCAUUUGAGUUUGUCACUCUUGGUCUAAUGUCACCUAGAAAACCUAAAGUAGGUGCCUUCAUAUACCUAAAUUUCUUCAGUUUUAAAGUAUUAAUAUUCACAGCAAAUAUUCAAAGCACUGUAGCAAUGGAUGUAUGGCAAGGGAAAAUAAGAUGAUAUCUCUAAAUUGUAUAAUAUACUACCCAGGCUUCUUUCACACCAGACUGUUGACAACAGGAAGAUGUGCCUUUCUUUUCAUCUCAUGUUUUGGUGCCAUGAAUUGGUAAUUUGACCAAUGAAUAAAGGAAAACUAAUGUGUUGAUUCUAAAGAAACAAUAUAUGGGGAUGAUAUAGAUAUAGAUACACACACACACACACACACACACACACUUCACCAAAAUGUUAAAAAAAAAAAGCUCAUUGGACAUAUUGCCAAGUAUUAUCCAUAGUGUUGGAUUUUAGCAGGGAAAAAAAUAGAUCCAAAUCCCUGCCCUCAUAGAUCUUGUCUAUUGUUAUUGUUUAAGGAAAAAGAAAAGAGUAAAAAACAAAUAUUUUAAAAUGUAAUAGUCAAAUAAUUAUGACAGCUUUUAAGAAAAAUAAAGAAAGAAAAAGGAAUAGGAAAGUCUAGAUCAAAACAAUUUUUCAAAAGGUACUUAAGUAAAGCAUCACUUAAGAAAGAAGACAAUAUCUGAAGAGAUGAGAAAACAGUCCAUGCAAUAUCUUAGAGAAGAACCUUCAAAGCAGAGGUAAAACAAGGCCAAGGAAUUGAGACAAUGGGAGCACUAAUGGCAUGUUCAAGGGAUGUGAAGGACAGCAGAGCAUCAGGAUGAAUGAGUAAGGAGAAUAGCAGAAGGGGAGGCCAGGAAACUGGGAGAAUCACGUAAGCUGCCAUAUGUCAUUUUAAGUAUUUUGAAUCUACUAGGAAGAGAUUAGAAACCAAGGAGUAUGUAGAGCAGAGAGAUGAUAUGACCUGAUAUUGUAUUUUAAGGCAUCAUUUUGGCUGCUAUGUUGAGUUAGACUGUGAGAGGUAAGAGGGAAAGAUAGGAAACAGGGAUAUUACUUAAGACUUAUGAAGUCUACCCAGGCAGGAGAGAAUGUUGACUUGGACCAAGAUCAAAGCAAUGGGAAUGGUGAAGAGGCUUCAGAUUUUGAAUAUAUUUUAAGGUAGGAUUUGCUAAUGGAUUGUAUAUGGCAAAUAAGAGAAAGAAGUCAUCAAAGGUGAAUCCAAGGUUUUUAAGCCUAAAAGCCACCAUUUCCUAAGAUGAGGAGGUCUGAAGUGAUUGCAUUCUGGGUAGGGUGGGCAGAGGCUUGAUAGGGAAUUUGCUUUAAGUUUCAGAUGCUUGUCAGACAUUCAAAUAGGCUAAAGAUGUCUAGGCUAAAGAUAAAUUUGGGAAUUCUACUGAAGAAAAAUGGUAAUUAAAAUUAUGAAACUGAAUAUUAUUACCAAGAGAAUGUGUGAAAAGAUAAGCAGAGAUCUGAGAACUGAACCAGGGGUACUCCAAUAUUUAAAGUUUAUGAGAUAAAUAAGAAUAAGCAAAGAAUAGCAAUGAAUUAGGAGUAAAAUCAGAAGGAUAAUGUUCCAAGAAGCUGGUAUAAAAGUAUUUCAAAGAGGAAGGUUGAAAACUGAGUCAAGUGUAGCUGAUAGGUAAAGAAAGAUCAAAAUUUAGAACAUAUUAUUGGGUUUAACAAAGGAAUAAAAUUUGGUGCUUUGAAAAGAUCAGUUUUGAAAGAGUAAUGGAUGGAAGCAAAACCCUGACUCAGAAGUCUUCAAGAGUGAAAGUGGACAUAACCAGAGACAAUGGGUAUGGACACUGAUUUCAACUAUCACUUUCUAAAAGGUGAAAAUUGUCAGAGACUGGAGAAAAAGGAGGAGACUAGGGAAGCUUUUCAGUUUUGAUUCUGUUUAAAAAUGGAAGAAAAAGUAGAUAUAUAUAAAUUGAUUAUUAUGAUACAGCAGAAAGAAGGAAAUAUUAGAGUCAGGAGAGAAGAAUAUUUCAAGCAGGUGAGAAUUAAGUAGUUCUGAUACAUAAGUGGAUGGUUUACCCUUUUUAUGAGUUCAGUCAGUUCAUCCACAGGAGAUGGAAAGUAUCAUAUAUAGAUGCUAAGGAAGAUAAAUAGGUAGAUGUGGUGGUGAGAGCCUGUAAACGCUGUCUUCAGAUUUUGCAUUAUUUUCUCAGUGUAUUGAAGUAAUCAGUUAAGAAUGAGGAUGGAAAACUUAGAGUUUGGAAAAGAGAGAAGAGGUAGGAAAAACUGGCCUGGAAGAGUAAGAGUGAAUGAACUAGGGUAAGGGUGAAUGAAUGAGGAGGAUGGCUGAGCAGUGCUUAGAGUCCACUCAAGAUCAGACAUGUAUUUAAAGUGAGACCCGAAAGUCUGGUCCAGUAAUUUGCUACAACUGCAUUUGCUGUGCAAGUGCAGGGACAAUGCAGGUGGAGAGAAGUAUUUAACUAGGUUUGGAAUUUUGCCAGGCAACUAUGGUAAAGUGAGAUGGGUAAGGAAGUUGAAGUAACGGAGAGGUUUAAUGCCCAGUGACAGAAUCUAACUUGGAUAAAGAAGCAUCAUGGACAUAAAAUGGUGGUGAAGGAGGGCAAAAAGUAAAAGGAUCUAAAAAUUGUGCCAAUAAGCUCAAAGAAGAGUUGAGUUGAAAGAUAUUAGAAAAGGUGGGAUGGAGGAUUUCCUGUCAUGGCUCAGCAGGUUAAGAACAUGCCUAGUAUCCAUGAGGAUGCAGGAAUGAUCCCUGGCCUCACUCAGUGGGUUAGGGAUCCAGUGGUGCCAUGAGCUGUGGUGUAGGUUGCAGACUCUGCUCAGAUCCCACAAUGCUGUGGCUGUGGCAUAGGCCUGGAAACUUUCAUUUACUGCGGGUGCGGCCCUUUAAAAAAAAAAAAAGUGAGAUGGAAAGAUACGAAGAGGUACUUGGAAAAUGCUUGAAAUUAGGCUACAAAAAUGUUACUUUCUGCAAUGAUAAUGAUGUCAUCUAAGGUAUGGCCAUAGCAUUGAAUAGCUAUGAAAGGGUGAAGGACAAGAUCAUUGGAAGGGAGACAGGAAAAGAAGUUUGAAGUCAAUUUAUUAGAAAAAUUGUCUAAGUAGAUAUUGAAAUCACCAAAGAAUUUCAUAGUUGUCAAGGAGCUAAAAUCGUUCAGGAACAAGAGGUACUGAAGUUGGGUCAGUGGAUGACUGC
rnacentral:lncRNA from 1 species